AGCGAACGCUGGCGGCAGGCUUAACACAUGCAAGUCGAGCGGACACUUCGGUGUCAGCGGCAGACGGUUGUGUAACCCGUGGGAACGUACCCUUCGGUUCGGCCUAACGCUGGGAAACUAGCGCUAAUACCGGAUACGCCCUUUUGGGGAAAGGUUUACUGCAGCAGGAUCGGCCCGCGUCUGAUUAGCUAGUUGGUGGGGUAAUGGCCUACCAAGGCGACGAUCAGUAGCUGGUCUGAGAGGAUGAUCAGCCACACUGGGACUGAGACACGGCCCAGACUCCUACGGGAUGCAGCAGUGGGGAAUAUUGGACAAUCGGCGCAAGCCUGAUCCAGCCAUGCCGCGUGAGUGAUGAAGGCCUGAGGGUUGUAAAGCUCUUGUGUCCGGGACGAUAAUGACGGUACCGGAAGAAUAAGCCCCGGCUAACUUCGUG
rnacentral:rRNA from 1 species